rnacentral:rRNA from 1 species
UACGUAGGGGGCAAGCGUUGUCCGGAUUUAUUGGGCGUAAAGAGCGUGUAGGCGGUUAGGUAGGUCCGUUGUGAAAACUCGAGGCUCAACCUCGAGACGCCGAUGGAAACCAUCUGACUAGAGUCCGGAAGAGGAGAGUGGAAUUCCUGGUGUAGCGGUGAAAUGCGCAGAUAUCAGGAGGAACACCAAUUGCGAAGCAGCUCGCUGGGACGUUAGCUGACGCUGAGACGCGAAGCGUGGGAGCAA